rnacentral:misc_RNA from 1 species
UCAAGUCCCUCUUCGAGAGAUUGAGAACGUGUAACAUUAACCGUCGUGAGCGAGCACGUAUUGCGAGCGCAAUUCUGCUUUCCAGAUGGAUGUCGUUUUGCCGCAUCGGGCUUGCUUCCUUCGAAGCAGGAAAGAGUGCGGGAAUAAAGACCUCGGCGCGGUUUGCGCCAAGGACGGAUGUUGUUGGAGUGCAUCGCCUACUUUAUGUGGUGCGGUGUAUCCUCCUACCGAUGUGAGAAAGUGCAUGACUCUUGGCAACGGAUAUCUAGGCUCUCGCGUCGAUGAAGAACGUAGCAAAAUGCGAUACUUGGUGUGAAUUGCAGAAUCCCGUGAACCAUCGAGUCUUUGAACGCAAGUUGCGCCUAAGACCGUCAGGUCAAGGGCACGUCUGCUUGGGCGUCGCGCCUUACGUCACUCCAAACCCCCCCGGUAAGGGUGUGUGCGGAUGUGGAUAGUGACCCUUCGUGCUUUCGCUGCGCGGUGGGUUUGAGUGAUGGCCGUUGCUAGGUUUUGCACUCGGCGAAUGGUGGGUUAGAGUAUGCGCCUCCAGCUGUGCACAUGACUCCUAGCCGCGGCUUACAAGAAAUAAAACCCAUGACGAUGUUUGCACAGCCUGCAAGCUCGGACC